rnacentral:rRNA from 1 species
GGGUCCGCACAAGCGGUGGAGCAUGUGGUUUAAUUCGAUGAUACGCGAAGAACCUUACCAGGGCUUAAAUGCAGAGCGACAGAGGUGGAAACACCUCCUUCUUCGGACGGUCUGCAAGGUGCUGCAUGGUUGUCGUCAGCUCGUGCUGUGAAGUGUCGGGUUAAGUCCCAUAACGAGCGCAACCCCUAUUUCUAGUUGCCAGCGGUUCGGCCGGGGACUCUAGAGAAACUGCCAGCGUAAGCUGUGAGGAAGGUGGGGAUGACGUCAAAUCAUCACGGCCCUUACGUCCUGGGCUACACACGUGCUACAAUGGUGAGGACAGAGAGUUGCCAACCCGCGAGGGUGAGCCAA